rnacentral:rRNA from 1 species
GACGAAGGAUGCAAGCGUUAUCCGGAUUCAUUGGGCUUAAAGGGUUUGUAGGUGGCUUGUUAAGUCAGACGUGAAAUCCCUCAGCUUAACUGGGGAACUGCGUCUGAGACUGGUGAGCUUGAGUGCAGGAGAGGAACGCGGAAUUCCAGGUGUAGCGGUGAAAUGCGUAGAUAUCUGGAGGAACACCGGUGGCGAAGGCGGCGUUCUGGACUGCAACUGACACUGAUGAACGAAAGCCAGGGGAGCAAACGGG